UACGUAGGGUGCAAGCGUUGUCCGGAAUUAUUGGGCGUAAAGAGCUCGUAGGCGGUCUGUUGCGUCGGCUGUGAAAACCCGGGGCUCAACUCCGGGCCUGCAGCCGAUACGGGCAGACUAGAGUUCGGCAGGGGAGACUGGAAUUCCUGGUGUAGCGGUGAAAUGGCGCAGAUAUCAGGAGGAACACCGGUGGCGAAGGCGGGUCUCGUGGGCCGAUACUGACGCUGAGGAGCGAAAGCGUGGGGAGCAAACAGG
rnacentral:rRNA from 1 species